rnacentral:rRNA from 2 species
CAGGGCCUUCGGGGUCAGCGGCCAGACGGGUGAGUAACGCGUGGGAACGUGCCCUUCGGUUCGGAAUAACUCAGUGAAACUUGAGCUAAUACCGGAUACGCCCUUUUGGGGAAAGUGUUUACUGCCGAAGGAUCGGCCGCGUCUGAUUAGCUGGUUGGUUGAGUGUUACCGGCUCACCAAGGCGACGAUCAGUAGCUUGGUCUUGAGAGGAUGAUCAGCCACAACUGGGACUUGAGACACGGCCCAGACUCCUACGGGAGGCAGCAGUUGGGGAAUAUUGGACAAUGGGGGCAANCCUGAUCCAGCCAUGCCGCGUGAGUGAUGACGGCCUUAGGGUUGUAAAGCUCUUUUCUCCGGGACAGAUAACUGACGGUACCGGAGGAAUAAGCCCCGGCUAACUUUCGUGCCAGGAAGCGACGGUUAAUACGAAGGGGGCUACGUUGCUCGGAAUCACUUGGGCGUAAAGGGCUGCGUAAG